AACGAACGCUGGCGGCAGGCCUAACACAUGCAAGUCGAACGCCGUAGCAAUACGGAGUGGCAGACGGGUGAGUAACGCGUGGGAACCUUCCCUAUGGUUCGGAAUAGCUCAGGGAAACCUGGGGUAAUACCGGAUAAGCACUUCGGGGGAAAGAUUUAUCGCCAUUGGAUGGGCCCGGCUCGGAUUAGCUAGUGGGAGAGGUAACGGCUCACCAAGGCGACGAUCCGUAGCUGGUCUGAGAGGAUGAUCAGCCACACUGGGACUGAGACACGGCCCAGGCUCCUACGGGAGGCAGCAGUGGGGAAUAUUAGACAAUGGGCGAAAGCCUGAUCCAGCCAUGCCGCGUGAGUGACGAAGGCCUUAGGGUUGUAAAGCUCUUUUGGCGGGGAAGAUAAUGACGGUACCCGCAGAAUAAGCUCCGGCUAACUUCGUGCCAGCAGCCGCCGUAA
rnacentral:rRNA from 1 species